rnacentral:lncRNA from 10 species
UGCAAUUGAGCCUGCUGGGUGCUGCUGCAAGUUUGGGGGUGAACAGGAGAAUCAGGUUCUUAUAGGGGUGAAGUCUGCAAAGUAGGAUGUUUUCCUAAUUUGAAUGCAAUGACUGAAGUGGAAAAUGGUCAAAACUGGGCAGAGUGGCUCACACCUACAAUCCCCUAGGAGGGAAGGACAAAGGCAUCCAUAUCACCUCGCCACAGUGGUUGUGGUGGAAGCUGUAGCACUGAAGAGAUGCAGCCCCAUGGAAGAUGCUGCCAAGAGAGGGAGACAGAGCUACGUCUGGUGUCUCCCUUCCUCCUUACCUGGUGCCUCCCUCCUCCUGUCCUCCUGUCUCCCUUCAGAUGAAGGAACUGAUGCUGAGACUUGCACUCUACCAUAGGCGGAAGCACCCACCACCCUGUUCCCAGCCCUGGAAGGGCAAGGAAUGAAUCUGAGGCAAAUAGGGCCAGCACUGGCAGUCUGCUCGAUUUUCCCUCAGAGCAUUUAUCUUCCUUGACAUAUUUACAAUUUUUUGUCUAUUUUUGGUUUCUCUAACUUGACUAGAAUGUAAGAUCCACAAGGCUUGGGCUUUGCUCUUUUGUUCACUAUGUCCAUAGCUCCUGUAACAGUGCCUAAAACAUAGUAGGCAAUCAAUAGAUAUUCUUUGGAUAAACAAAUAUGCCUCAACAUUGAGUCUAACUUACAGCAGACAUUGAAUAAAUAUCUAUUGAAUGAA